CCUCUUUUCUUGUCAAUGGACAUUUAAAAAUGACAUUUGUGGCUUUCAUUUUACUUUCUAACUUUCAUAGUUUUAGAGAGAAGCCAGAAUCCAUGGCACCUAUUCAUGAUCUCUUAAAUGUUCUCAAUCCCACAAGCCAGGGAUGUUGAUGGCAGCAGAGGUUAAGCUUUGGCACACUUCUUUAAGUACUCACACAGACACUGUAGGAAUGAGACUUAAGUCUAACACAUUGUUUGGUACACACAGCGACACAGAACGCUGAGAAGCCUGGAAGUCAAGAGAAAUGAUGAGUCAUUUAUUGACAUCAGACUGAAAAUGGACUUCGGAUAUUCUACACAUCAGUAGGGCCUACAUGAUCCAGUUGUUUAGAUCUCCAGGAAAUUUGUAAAUG